AGCGAACGCUGGCGGCAGGCUUAACACAUGCAAGUCGAACGCAUCCUUCGGGAUGAGUGGCGGACGGGUGAGUAACACGUGGGAACGUACCCUUUGGUUCGGGACAACUCUGGGAAACUGGAGCUAAUACCGGAUACGCCCUUUUGGGGAAAGGUUUACUGCCGAAGGAUCGGCCCGCGUCUGAUUAGCUUGUUGGUGGGGUAACGGCCUACCAAGGCGACGAUCAGUAGCUGGUCUGAGAGGAUGAUCAGCCACACUGGGACUGAGACACGGCCCAGACUCCUACGGGAGGCAGCAGUGGGGAAUAUUGGACAAUGGGCGCAAGCCUGAUCCAGCCAUGCCGCGUGAGUGAUGAAGGCCUUAGGGUUGUAAAGCUCUUUUAUCCGGGACGAUAAUGACGGUACCGGAGGAAUAAGCCCCGGCUAACUUCGUGCCAGCAGCCGCCGUAA
rnacentral:rRNA from 1 species